ACCGAAAUGCAUGUCCUAAACCCUAACGUAGCUCCUACACUGCACCGCCAACUUCACCGCACGAGCCAAAACGGCGGCCAUGUCCGUCCGCCCCAGUCCUACCCGGCUUAUGCACGCGGCGAAGAGUGGUGCCGUCGUCACCCUUCGCAGGUGCAGCCUCACCUCCAGGAGCGCCUUCUUCCUCGACCAAUUUGCCUCCGUCCAGGCUUCGACCGAGCUCGUGAACCUCCUCCUGGGCGACCAUCGCAUUGAAUGUGACGCUCGUGAACCUCCUCCCGAGUUCGUGAACCUCCUCUCACACGCCAAUCCCCUUACUCUGUUGUGCCUCCGCCCCCUCCCAGCAUCUAGCGCGCACUGCCAUCCUCUGCGCCCCAUCGUCUACCGUGAGGCAUCCAUCCCUCCUUCUCCCACACACUCGGAUCCUCCGAACACGCCACCAAGCUCAACGCGAUGGCCGCACCCCGCCUCCCUGCCCCACCGCCGGCGAGGUGCACCGUCGCCACCAGAGGACGAGCACGAGCAACAGAAGACCUUGAGGAGAAGCCCACCAUCGAGGAUAUGUCCGUCUUCUCCGCUGCCACUGUGCCGCCUCGCCCAGCCACGCAGAUACGUGGAUUUGAUCCACCACCAGCUCGAGUUUUUGCUUGGCAUUGCCCUGGAGUUGGAUGCAUUCAAGUAUUUGCAAAUAGUUGCUUCAUAUGGAGGAUGCACAGGUGCAAACAAUCUUGAUAAGAAUGGUAAACUAGACUGAGGAGAUUUCGAGUGGGUGAGCGCGGCAACGACAUGUUGACAGGAGACGGCGGGAAGCGCUCGACAAGCUAAUUAACUUGAAAGGAGAGGAUCACGGUCAAGUCAGUCGGGAUUAAGAAAGAGUUCGAUGCUGAUAGGGUCUUUGGGCAGGAGUAUGCACAAGGUAGCCUCAGUGAUAACUUCUUUGCGAUCAUUGUGCCGACUGAGUACGAUUGUUUAACGGCCAGCACUAGGAAGAAGGAAAUUGUUGAUGUCAUAGUUAAGGCUUUCAAGAGCACAUGAGUAUGAACCUGAGGUGGCUUGCUGGCGUACAUGGAGUGGUGACAGAUUGCAUGCUGGUAGUUGAUGAAACUGGUGGGAUAUUUGAGAAAGGUGGAAUUUAGAUCUACUGUAAGCAGUGGGAAAAGUAGGCUAUUUCCUGUAGAGGUGCAUAAAAUCUCAAAGCGAGGAUUAUAGGUCCUUCAACUUUUUUAAGUGUCCUCGAUAUGGACCUGAUUUUCUCUUGGAGUGAACCGCCUAAUAGGUUUAACGACCUAAAUCCUCAUUUUGAGAGCUUAUGGCCUAAGUGAGAAUCCAAGAUAAGUUUAAGAUCUCCAUGUGCAUUUUACUCCUAGAUUUAUACAGUGAUAGUACCAAAUUUCUUGUUAAUCAUUUCACAUUCACCUUAUCUAUUUUGUGUUCCAGGUUCUAUUUAAUAAUGAAAAUGGAAUAGGCAUUGAAAAAACAAGAGAUGAAGCUCAAGCUCAAGAUGCUGAGAAAACUCUCCAAAAUUUAAAGAAAUUUGGUAGAGAAGAGUCAAAAUCUCAGCCAGGAAACACACUCGAUGAUGAGGAUAUAAAGCUAUUAGGUGAUGAUGAGGAUGCUUUAGCAGAUGAUGAAUGAAGGACAUCGCUGUUGGAGAAGUACCUAUGUUGAUUGCAGGGUUUUGCAAUGGAUUGUCUUAUCUCUAAAGAUUGUAGUCUAGGUAUCUAAACGAGGAACUAACAUGUACUAGAUUGUAUUGUCGUAGAUGUUUGUUUGUGAGAGAACAUUUGUGAAGUUACGGGGUGACCAGUUGAUCACAAUGCCAGCUCUUUUGUGUUGAGUUCAUACUGUAUUCUUAACUAACCACAACUAAUCAUAUGAUGAGUCAUAGGAGACUUUUUUGACUUC